AUUGACCGGAAGUUGCAUCAGCCAAGCAGAGACAUCUACGGAGGACCACUUUAUGCUGGUUCUUUUCCAAGAAAUACUGCAUAUAUCUUUUCGUUAAGGUUGCAUCGCCGGUAAGCCAGAAGCAAUAAAAGAUCCUUGAACAGCCUCCAGAGGAAUUCCCCUCCAGCCACUGGAAAAAGUCAGAAUGUUAGUUGUGAUUUUGGUUCUUACCCCGCCUCCUCAGCACCAGACACACCAGCAGCACCAAGAGCAGCACCAGGAUGAGGAGCAGCACCAAGCUGCCAAUCACGAUGCCCACCACCUCGCCCACGUCCAGACACGUGUCUGCAAGGGGAAGACGUGUGAAAAGUGUUGAGAAGAACUUACAGAAGACGGUGAGACUCCUGGAGGCGGUGAGGGCGCUGAGCGGGUUGCUGACGGUACACGUGUAGUCGCCGGCGUCGCCGCGCUGCCCCGGGUUGAUGACCAGCACGCCGUCAACGAUGGUGAUCCUGGAGUCUUCGGCCACGGCCACGCCUCCUUUCCCGAACUGAAAGCUGACCUCCGUGCCGCCCGAGGUGCACGUCAGCGUGAUGUUCCCCCCCUCCACCGCCACCGACGGCACGGCGAGACUCACGCCGGCCACCGCCUCUGGAAGGACAACAUUUUUGGUGGCGUCACGUGCAGGAAGGAAGUUUGAUGUUGGAGGUGAGGAUGCAGGUGGCGAGUAAAGGGCAGGAAAAAGAGCGGUGGACUGGAUGCUGGCCUGAGUGGAACCACCGGCAUGAGGAAGGAGAACUGUGAUAUUGGAUGGAGAUGAAACAUCCUUUUAGUCACUGCAGUACUUGGCAGCCACCAGCAGGGGACAACACAAAAAAAGAACUGCUAGUUCUCAAGUAGAAAAACAGUAAGAGUAAACAGGGGGAUGACGUGGCACCAUUGGGAGAGUGGCUGUGCCAGCAACCUCAGGGUUCCUGGUUCGACCCCCAACUUCUACCAACCUCGUCACGUCCGUGCUGAACCGGUCUGGAGUUCCCCGUCAUGCCAGUGGAGGCCAGAGGUUCCACCUCCACCGUGUACGCCCCCGCGUCCUCCAGCCGGGUGCUGCUGAUGCGCAGCUGCGUGGCCGUGAUGGUGACCCGGCCGCGGAACUGCGGCACGUCGUUGAUGACGGGCCCGCCCCCGACCCACAGGCCCAAGGUGUCCCCCUCGUAGAGCCAGGUCAUGGACAGCACGUCGGGAGUGGUCAGCACCGUGAACUGGACCUCCGUGCCGGUCAGGACCAGGACGGGGUCAGUCUGGAACUGGAUCUGGACCUGGUCCUGGGCCUGCACCAGAGCUGGAGGGCACACAAGCACAUUGAAACAACUUAGGUUGACAAACAACACAAUAACUCGUCAAAAGUCAGAAAAAAACUUAAUUUUCUUGUUCAAAAAAAUGUUGCAUUAAUAACAAAAACAAAUGUGCUAAACAAAAACAGGAAGAAAAAAAAAUAUUAUUUUUAUUUAUUUUUUAAGUUAAAUCUUUUUAUACUUGCGACAGAAUAAAUAUGACUAUGUUCAUGAAAAAUGUAUUUUUAAUGGAGUUCAAAGAGUAAUACGUGUCUUCAGAUCCUGUUCAUCAGCACCAAACAAUGGUCUAGAAACAAAAAGCAGGCUUCACUACACAUCCUAAA